UACGUAGGGGGCUAGCGUUGUCCGGAAUCAUUGGGCGUAAAGAGCGUGUAGGCGGUCCGGUAAGUCCGCUGUGAAAGUCGGGGGCUCAACCCUCGAAUGCCGGUGGAUACUGUCGGGCUAGAGUGCGGAAGAGGCGAGUGGAAUCCUGGUGUAGCGGUGAAAUGCGCAGAGUAUCAGGAGGAACACCUAUUGCGAAGGCAGCUCGCUGGGACGUAACUGACGCUGAGACGCGAAAGCGUGGGGAGCAAACAGG
rnacentral:rRNA from 1 species